GCCGUCCACAUCCUCACUGUCGACAUUCGUUAGUGUUUGCUUUCUUAACCACCGUUGCUCUGACCCGGGUAGGAGAGACUCCCAACAGUUUCCGUUUGUGCUUCUCUGAUGGCUAUGAAGGAUCUGAUGUAGCCUCCGCUGAGCUCGGGCUUGUUAGGUAGCCAAGACUGACCGUGAACUCCCAACCCUCGAGUCUCCACCCACCUGCAUGUGUCGUCAUCACGCCUGCAUGUGUCAUCAUGCCUGGGAGUUCACGUGCUGCUGCCCAUCCGGCCCCGGGGCAUCUGGAACGGGGAGCAAGACCUGCACCAACUGAGAUAUUCAUUUCACGAGUGUCAUGUCUCAGUGUGUGCAUGCGCACCCUGUGCCGUCCGCAGAUGCUGUGAGCUGGUGACCACGACAAGCAGGAACUCAAUUUGAUGCCCGUCAUCUUCCCUGACGUAGACUGGUCCUGUCAGGAGCACACAUGUCUCACUGUCAAUGAAAAAAAUAAAGAAAGAACUUACGUUAUUAAAACAUCUUAAAUGCCAUAUUCUGUGGAUCUCUGAAGGGUGUGAAGAUGACACGCCUUUCUAAAAUAUGUUUGACCUAGUAAACAUACCUAACGUGAAGACAGGUUCGACUGCAGUAGCUGACUGACUGCUAAACUACGUGCGCUGAGCAGCUUGCCCUCAAGUGUCUCUCUCUCUCGAAGACGGUACUUGUAUGCCGUCCGCACCUCCCUUGGCCAGUGUUUCCUUCGUGGACGGCGCUGUCUGUGGCGGUAUCGGGACUUUGGGCUUCCUCUGCCUUCUGAGAUUGACCUCCUAGGUGUCCCCUCGAGUCUUCUACCUGAACGUAGGCGCCCUAGGGGCUCUACGGCUGCGAGGAGACACCAUGCCACAGCAGCUCCUACAAAGGAGAACUUCUAAUUGAGGUGGCGGCUACAUGAGUUUGGAGGCUCGGUCCAUCACCAAUCACCGCGGCCCAGAACGUGUAGCGCCUCUCCCUUUGGGAGCCAUUUUCCUUCAAAACACCACAGUAGGGGGGUUUUAAAAUAUCAUCCCCCCUUCAAAUACGUUUGCAGUGAUGUUGUGGCGCUGCGGGUUGUUCCAGCCCCUGUGACCUCUUCUCUAUUCACCCCAGCCCUGUUGAAAUUCAUCUUCCUCCCUAGCUGCUGCGAUGUUUUCCAUUUGUUCAUAGCUUCUUCUCCUUUACUGAGAUCCUCAACUUCUUAUGUGUCUCUUGGAGAAUGGAUUCUCCAUUGCCGAAAUGUUUUGGGGCACCUGCUUUAAAAUCCUGGCCAGACAAUUUACUCUCCACCUCUGAUUUGCCUUGGCUUUUGCCAGUUAACUGCCCCCCCCCCGCCCCGCCACUGUCUAUGUUUGGGGACACAAUUUCACUAUGUAUGCUCCUGGCUUGUCCCUCCAAAUUGUAAGAUCACCAGCAGGCACCGCCUUGCCCAAUAAAGCCGUCGUCCGUC